rnacentral:rRNA from 1 species
GAUGAACGCUGGCGGUAUGCUUAACACAUGCAAGUCGAACGAAAUCUUUAGGGAUUUAGUGGCGGACGGGUGAGUAACGCGUGAGAAUCUGCCUUCAGGUCUGGGACAACCACUGGAAACGGUGGCUAAUACCGGAUGUGCCCUUAGGGGGUGAAAGAUUAAUUGCCUGAAGAUGAGCUCGCGUCUGAUUAGCUAGUAGGUGUGGUAAGAGCGCACCUAGGCGACGAUCAGUAGCUGGUCUGAGAGGACGAUCAGCCACACUGGGACUGAGACACGGCCCAGACUCCUACGGGAGGCAG